UGAUAGCGAUGAAACGUGAGGUUGCUGCUUCAGAAUGAGGCAGGUUUUCCGCGGAGCGAAUGUCAAGUUAGGAAACUGGCGACAA
rfam:Roseburia sp. CAG:100 genomic scaffold, scf263